UGGGGAAGGGAGCUGAGCAGGCUGGUGUCGUGUUGGUAAUCCCAGCAUUUGAGAAGUGGAGGAGGAUUGAGAACAGCUUGAAUUACAGAGUGAGAGAGAAUGUGUCUCCAGCAAACAGAAGAACAAAGUGGGAUUGUUGAAAUCAUCUUCACACGUCAGACCUCUCCAGAAACACAGAAACAGCAGAAGGCGGGUAAAUUGGGCAGACAAGUAGAUCUCUACAAUAAGGUUUACAUCAUGUGUUUAUGAAGGACAGACCUGACUCUAAGCUGUAGGUACAGGAAAGCUGAACGUAAGUCAAACCUGAAGGCUCAAGAGUCAGGAGGCCAAAGGAGGACACCAAGGGAAGUAUUCCACAUUGAACGAGAAGCCUACUUGGAACCUAACAGUUCUUUCUAGAACAGAAUGCAGGACUCUUAUAAAAGGCAUUGGAUGAAGAGCUAGAAACAUGAAGUUCCAAGAAAAAAAAGAAAAAAGAAUGACCUGUGUUAAAGACUGGACAAGGCUCAUGGAUGAAAACCUCCAUGAUUUUGAAAAUUGGAACUCUGCAUCAAGUCGUAUAAUCUUGGACUGUCUUUAGCCAUGUUGCUAACUUAUUCAUUGCCUAUCUCUAUCUAACCUGGGUAGCACAUGGACCCUUAGGGAUGUGUUAGCAGAUAGCUUCUCCCAUCCCACAGGCUAAGAAUGUCAUCAGAGAGUGCCUGCAAUAUACAGCAAAGGCCUCCUGCCUCCCCCACACCCCCACCCCUUCACACCCCACCCCCACCCCC